rnacentral:rRNA from 1 species
GACGAACGCUGGCGGCGUGCUUAACACAUGCAAGUCGAGCGGAGCGGCGAACGGGUGAGUACCGCGUGAGUAACUGACCCCCUCUCUGGGUUAACAGUUGGAAACGGCUGCUAAUACCGGAUAGUGGGGGAUGACUCGCGUCCUAUCAGCUUGUUGGGGGGGUAGUGGCUUACAAAGGGGACGACGGGUAGACGGCCUGAGAGGGCGACCGGCCACAUUGGGAUGAGAUACGGCCCGAACUCCUACGGGAGGCAGCAGUAGGGAAUAUUGCACAAUGGGGGAAACCCUGAUGCAGCAACGCGCGUGCGGGAUGAUGGCCUUCGGGUUGUAAACCGCUUUCAGCCAUGACGCGGUAGUAGCAGAAGAAGCACCGGCUAACUACGUGCCAGCCGCCGCGGUAAUUC